AUGAUAAUACAAAUAUUUUUAUGUUAUUAUCAUGAUACGAAUGUGUUGGCUUUAUUUAAUUUUUAUCACCAUUGUUUGUACCCUCACUGUUGGAUUCAAUUAUUAUAUCAUAUACUAAUAUAUUAAUAUUACAAAACCAGCCUAAAAGUGCUGGAACCUUUAAACACAUGUAUAUUUAAAGAAGAUUCUAAUUGGAUAAUAAUUAUUAAACUUUAGUAUUUUCUUUUCCAAAAUAACAUAUAGUAUUUAGACAAACUAUAACUACACAAAAAUAAAAAAAUUCUCAUGUCUUCUUGAGCAAAUAUAAAUUUACUAAUAUGCUUGUAUCAUUGCAAGGAAUUUAGUUUUUCUUGAUUUUCGUGUAACUAUAACAAUGAAUUUAGUUUUUCUUAAUUUUCAUGUAACAAUAACAUUUCUCACUUUUGCAAUUUGGAUAUUUGGCUAAAUAUAAAUUGUAAUUUAUUUAAUGGUAAGACUGAUUUCCCUUCGUCUUCAUUAGUUAGGUGAAAAGUCAUAGAAUACAUUACCCCAAUAUCUAGAAAUCCGGAAGCCUCCUUAAACAUCAAUAUCUGUUGGUUCUUUCCUAUUCAAGGGACUUAUAAAUUGAAUACAGAUGGAUCUUAUUCAGAGCAAACAUGUACAGGUGGCAUUGGAGGUAUAAUUUGUGACUCUCAGGGGUGGGUGAUUGGCUUUCAAAAAAGUGUACAAUGUCUAAACCAUAAUUUUUCUGAGACUGAAGCCCUUCUUAACGAUCAAUGUUGAAGAAGUUGGGGAAUCCGAAAAUCCGUCACAACUUUCGUGAAGCAAACAUGAUAGCUGAUAUUUUGUCUAAGAUGGGUGCUAAGCUAACAAUGUCUAAUCAAAUAUCUUACGAUCUCCUCCAGAAGCUAUAAAGGAUUACCUUGCGGCUGACCUUGGUGGAGUACUAUCUAAAAAGCUAAUAUUAUGAUUUAUGUGUAAUAUGUUAGUCUGUUUUGGUAACCUACUUAAUAGUACUAGUUCGGAUGUAAUAAUCAACUAAUUAUAUAUUAUUAUAUAUAUGAGUUAUAUUUUUUGUU